rnacentral:rRNA from 1 species
UCGAGCGGCAGCGCGGGGGCAACCCUGGCGGCGAGCGGCGAACGGGUGAGUAAUGCAUCGGAACGUGUCCUCUUGUGGGGGAUAACCAGUCGAAAGAUUGGCUAAUACCGCAUGAGAUCGAGAGAUGAAAGCAGGGGACCGCAAGGCCUUGCGCGAGAGGAGCGGCCGAUGCCGGAUUAGCUAGUUGGUGGGGUAAAAGCCUACCAAGGCGACGAUCCGUAGCUGGUCUGAGAGGACGACCAGCCACACUGGGACUGAGACACGGCCCAGACUCCUACGGGAGGCAGCAGUGGGGAAUUUUGGACAAUGGGGGCAACCCUGAUCCAGCCAUGCCGCGUGUGUGAAGAAGGCCUUCGGGUUGUAAAGCACUUUCGGACGGAACAAAAUCGCGCGAUCUAAUAAGUCGCGUGGAUGACGGUACCGUAAGAAGAAGCACCGGCUAACUACGUGCCAGCAGCCGCGGUAAUACGUAGGGUGCGAGCGUUA